GGAUAACCUACCCUUAGGACUGGGAUAACCCUGGGAAACUGGGGCUAAUACCGGAUAGGCAAUUUUUCCUGUAAUGGUUCUUUGUUUAAAUGUUUUUUCGCCUAAGGAUGGGUCUGCGGCCGAUUAGGUAGUUGGUUAGGUAAUGGCUUACCAAGCCGUUGAUCGGUACGGGUUGUGAGAGCAAGAGCCCGGAGAUGGAACCUGAGACAAGGUUCCAGGCCCUACGGGGCGCAGCAGGCGCGAAACCUCCACAAUGUGAGAAAUCGCGAUGGGGGGAUCCCAAGUGCCAUUCUUAACGGGAUGGCUUUUCAUUAGUGUAAAAAGCUUUUGGAAUAAGAGCUGGGCAAGACCGGUGCCAGCCGCCGCGGUAACACCGGCAGCUCUAGUGGUAGCAACUUUUAUUGGGCCUAAAGCGUCCGUAGCCGGUUUAAUAAGUCUCUGGUGAAAUCCUGUAGCUUAACUGUGGGAAUUGCUGGAGAUACUAUUAGACUUGAGACCGGGAGAGGUUAGAGGUACUCCCAGGGUAGAGGUGAAAUUCUGUAAUCCUGGGAGGACCGCCUGUUGCGAAGGCGUCUAACUGGAACGGUUCUGACGGUGAGGGACGAAAGUUAGGGGCGCGAACCGGAUUAGAUACCCGGGUAGUCCUAACUGUAAACGAUGCGGACUUGGUGUUGGGGUGGCCUUGAGCUGUUCCAGUGCCGAAAGGGAAGCUGUUAAGUCCGCCGCCUGGGAA
rnacentral:rRNA from 1 species